UGGGGAAUAUUGCGCAAUGGCCGCAAGGCUGACGCAGCGACGCCGGCGUGUGGGAUGACGGCCUUCGGUUGUAACCACUGUCGGAGGGACGGAAUACUUGGCUUGCCAAGGGUGACGGUACCUCCAAAGGAAGCACCGGCUAACUCCGUGCCAGCAGCCGCGGUAAUACGGAGGGUGCGAGCGUUGUCCGGAAUCACUGGGCGUAAAGGGCGCGUAGGUGGCUCGUUAAGUGGCUGGUGAAAUCCCGGGGCUCAACUCCGGGGCUGCCGGUCAGACUGGCGGGCUCGAGCACGGUAGAGGCGGAUGGAAUUCCCGGUGUAGCGGUGGAAUGCGUAGAUAUCGGGAAGAACACCGGUGGCGAAGGCGUUCCGCUGGGCCGUUGCUGACACUGAGGCGCGACAGCGUGGGGAGCAAACAGGAUUAGAUACCCUGGUAGUCCACGCCGUAAACGAUGGGCACUAGGCGUCGGGGGGAGCGACCCGUCCCGGUGCCGUCGCUAACGCAGU
rnacentral:rRNA from 1 species